GUGGGGAAUUUUGGACAAUGGGGGCAACCCUGAUCCAGCAAUGCCGCGUGCAGGAAGAAGGCCUUCGGGUUGUAAACUGCUUUUGUACGGAACGAAACGGUCCUGGUUAAUACCUGGGGCUAAUGACGGUACCGUAAGAAUAAGCACCGGCUAACUACGUGCCAGCAGCCGCGGUAAUACGUAGGGUGCAAGCGUUAAUCGGAAUUACUGGGCGUAAAGCGUGCGCAGGCGGUUUUGUAAGACAGACGUGAAAUCCCCGGGCUCAACCUGGGAAUGGCGUUUGUGACUGCAAAGCUGGAGUGCGGCAGAGGGGGAUGGAAUUCCGCGUGUAGCAGUGAAAUGCGUAGAUAUGCGGAGGAACACCGAUGGCGAAGGCAAUCCCCUGGGCCUGCACUGACGCUCAUGCACGAAAGCGUGGGGAGCAAACAGGAUUAGAUACCCGGGUAGUCC
rnacentral:rRNA from 1 species